rnacentral:rRNA from 1 species
UUAGGAAUCUUCCCCAAUGGGCGCAAGCCUGACGGAGCAAUACCGCGUGAGGGAGGAAGGCUUUUGGGUUGUAAACCUCUUUUUUCAAGGAAGAAGCAAGUGACGGUACUUGAAGAAUCAGCAUCGGCUAACUCCGUGCCAGCAGCCGCGGUAAUACGGAGGAUGCAAGCGUUAUCCGGAAUCAUUGGGCGUAAAGCGUCCGCAGGUGGUGUAUCAAGUCUGCUGUCAAAGACUAGAGCUCAACUCUGGAGAGGCAGUGGAAACUGGUAGACUAGAGUACGGUAGGGGUUGAGGGAAUUCCCAGUGUAGCGGUGAAAUGCGUAGAUAUUGGGAAGAACACCAGUGGCGAAGGCGCUCAACUGGACCGUAACUGACACUCAGGGACGAAAGCUAGGGUAGCGAAAGGGAUUAGAUACCCCCGUAGU